rnacentral:lncRNA from 1 species
GUUUUUGAGGACUCUCUAUCCAAAUACUCCAUCAGAUCUUUAUUCAACAAACUGAAUUCUCGUACCUGAGAUUCAAGAUGGGCAAUUUCGUUGUCGUGCUCCUCCAACAUCUUUGGCUAUUCUUUUGUCGAUUUCAAAGGUAUCUCCAAAGAUAUUAUCGCUGAAAUUGGCAUAUUGGUCUGCACUAAAUUAUUGGCCUCCUUCUUUAAUGUGGCUAGUUUAGUCUGCAACAUCGCAACCUCUACUUGCAGCUGCUCUUGCUGUUCCUUCCAAUUGGUCUCCAUCCUUGCUUUCUCAGACACCAUGUUCGCCAUCUUUUUCUUUUCUGCCAUCCACUUCUCCUUAACCCUAACCUCUACCAACGCAACAUCAAUUGGUGGUAAGUUUUGUGAAAUGCACAAAAAUCCAUCCCUAUGUGCUCCUCAAAAAUCCUACUACUUCUCUUUAGUUCAACAAACAUCCAAUCGAAUCGGCUCCAUAUUAGUCACAAUACUACACCCCAAUGGCGACAACUCAUCCUUGCACCUUACAUUGCUCUAUUUUUCCUCCCUAUUCAACAGCCUCUUUGUCUUCUCAAUCACUAUUGUAUUCUAAUACAAGCAAGUACUGACAACUAAUCUCUCAAAACAUACAUACAGGGCUGCUUAUCCAAAAGAAGAUAUGAUACUUGAUAAGAGCCCCUCCUCCUACUUCUUACUAUGGUCCAAUCAAUUGGAUCGACUCGCCUUUAUUUUCCACGAUUUGUCAUGAUGAAAUAUCCUACUAACUAGGUCUGACAACCAAUCUUUACUACCACCAUCACUAAUUCCAUUUACAUUCCUCACACUUCUUAUCACCUUAUAUUUACUACCCUAUCAUCAUUAUUAUUUAUCCCCCCCC